CCUANGGGUGGCAGCAGUCGAGGAUUUUUCUCAAUGGGGGAAACCCUGAAGGAGCGACGCCGCGUGAGGGAUGAAGGUCUUCGGAUUGUAAACCUCUGUCAUCUGGGAACAAUGUGAUUUACCUAACACGUGGAUUAUUGAUAGUACCGGAAGAGGAAGCAGUGGCUAACUCUGUGCCAGCAGCCGCGGUAAUACAGAGACUGCAAGCGUUGUUCGGAUUCAUUGGGCGUAAAGGGUGCGCAGGCGGUCGGGUAAGUCGGAUGUGAAAGCUCGCAGCCUAACUGCGAUAGGUCAUUCGAAACUGCUCGGCUUGAGAACUGGAGAGGAGACUGGAAUUGUCGGUGUAGCGGUGAAAUGCGUAGAGAUCGACAAGAACACCGGUGGCGAAGGCGGGUCUCUGGACAGAUUCUGACGCUCAGGCACGAAAGCCAGGGGAGCAAACGGGAUUAGAUACCCCUNUANUC
rnacentral:rRNA from 1 species